UCCCAGAACUUGGGAAGUAGAGGAAGGCAGAUCUCUGAGUUCGAAGUCAGCAUGGUCUACAAAAUGAGUUACAGGAAAGCCAAGACUGCACAGACAAACCUUGUCUAUAAAAAAUCAAUCAAUCAACCAACCAACCAACCAAACAAACAAAAACAAGAAAAAAAAUCUCGGCAGACCUCCGGCCAUGGUGUAGGGUGAUAUGUGUCUCCCUUGAGCUGACUCUGCAGGGCAUGAUGACUUUGGCAAGUAAGGCAGUUGAAUUGCAGCUCCAGGUGAAGCACAAUGCAGAGGAGCAGCAAGAGUUCAUGAGGGACUUAUAGCACUGGGAGGAGGACAUGAAGCAGAAGGAGCUGGAGAUGAGAAGACAAGGUGGCAUUCCUGAGAAUUUACCUCCUAUUGGAAAUGGGAAUUUUAGAAAAAAAGAAGAAAAGUAAAGCUAAAAAUUCUUUAAAAACAAACAAACAAACAACAAAAAACAGAGAACAAAAUACAGACACACACACACACAAAGAAUAAAAUCCUUCGAUUACGAUGCCUGGGCAAAACUUGAUGUGGAUUCUUGAUGAGCUUAACAAAGAAGAUAGCACCACACCGUUCCAUGUCUCUAUGUCCCAGGAGUCAGAAUCAGAAGAAGACUGCAUUCAUGUAGAUUCUCGAAGCUCUUGUUUUAAAAGAAAAGGAUAAUAAGUACUUCAAGGAAGGAAAAUACUACGAAGCCAUUGAAUGCUCCAUGAAAGGCAUGGAUAUUGAUCCCUAUAAUCCCAUGUUGACAACAAACAGGGCGUCCACUUACUUAAGACUGAAAAAAUUUGCUAUUGCUAAGUCUGACUGUAAUUUGGCCAUUGCAUUAAACAGGAGUCACACCAAGGCUUACACCAGACAAAGUGCUGCUCGGUUUUGCUUGGCAAAAAUUGGAAGACACCAGAAAAGAUUAUGAGAAAGUCUUAGAACUGGAACCAGACAACUUUGGAGCAACAAAAGAACUUAGGAAAACUGAUCAGGCUUUAACAUCCAAAGAGAACUCAUGUCCCAAAGAAGUUGCUGCAAUGAUUAAGCCAGCUGCAGCAUAGGAAAACCCACUGAAGAUCAGCGGGACAGGCAGAAGGCCAUCGCAGAUAAAGACCUGGGCAAUGGAUUUUUUCAAACAAGAAAUAUGAGCAAACAACUGAACGCUACACCCGAGGGAUAGCAGCAGACAGCACCAACACCCUAAUUCCAGCUAACAGAGUGAUGGCCAUCUCAAGAUUCAGAAAUAUGAAGAAGCUGAAAGAGACUGCACACAAGCUAUCUUACUAAUGGUUCACAUUCAAUAGUGUUUGCCAGAAGAGGAACUGCAAGGACAUUUUUGGUAAAGAUGAAUGAGGCCAAGCAAGAUUUUGAAACUGUUUUACUUUAGAACCUGGAAAUAAACAAGCAGUGACUGAGCUUUCCAGAAGUAAAAAGGAAUUAAUUGAGAAAGGACAUUGGAGUGAUGUCUUUCUUGACUCCACACUGAGACACAGUGUGGUGAAACCUGUAGAUAAUCCUCCUCAUUUUGGGUUACCUAAAGCACUCAAGAAGGUUUUUAUUGAAGAAACUGGCAAUUUGAAAGACACUGUUAACACUGUUAAUGCACCAGAUAGUUCUGCCACUGUCCCUGAGAGCGAUCGAGUAACAGCGGCUAUGGUCACGGGAAGCAAAAAGAAUUCAAACAAGGGCAUCUCUCUGCCUGCAGGGGAUAUGCCAAGAGCUAAAGUAUUGAAAAUAGAAGCAAUCAGGGAUACUUCAGCCCCACAAGCACAGGUGGACCUGAAGCAAGAUGUGUGUCAGACUGUGAAUGAGAAGUCCUCUUUGAGGCUAGAGCAGCUGACAGGUCAGUUGUCCAAUGCGGUUCUGCCUGCACUUUCUGCCAACUACUUCCAGCUCAAGUUUGAUUUCAGACAGUUGAGAAGUUCCCAAGAGAUGCUGUAUCAGUAUUUAAAGAAUAUUGAACCAUCUUUUUAUCCCAAGUUGCUUCAGAAAAAACAAGAAUCUGGUGUAUUCAAUCAAAUCAUUACAAUUUUACAUGACUUUUACACUAAGAGGGAAAAGCCAACUCUCAUCUUUGAAGUCCAAGAAAGACUUUCUCAACUGAAAAGGUUUGACAUGGCGGUGAUGUUUAUGUCAGGACCUGAGAGAAAGUUCACAAAUGUAUUAUUCAAUCACUUAGAAAAAUCAGAACUGAAGGAAGAUUCUAUUGAAGAACUCAAGAAAAGAUACGGCAGCUGACCAUGAUUGGAUGUUGUUGCUUCUGUGUACAUUUCUUUCCUUACUGAAAUCAAGUAUUUGGCUUUUUAUGAAAGUGAAACUUACUGGAGAGGAGUUUCCUCUUUUUGGAUGGCAACUGAUUCACUCUAAGUGCUCUGUGGCCUAACUAGUGAGAAAUGCUUCAAAUAAACUAAGUUUUUAUGAAAUUAAAAAAAAAAAAGAAAAAGAAAAAAAUCUCAGUACACUUAGUGAGUGUGUUGGCACACACCUAUGUCCUCAGCCAUACGGACAGGGAGACAGGAGGGUUUGAAAUUCAAGGUCAUUAUCCUCUGCAAAGCAAACUUUAACCUUGGCUCUAUGAGACCCUGUCUCAAAUAUUUUCUCUUCCCUAAAAUGAUACCCCAGCCUCUGUCUUUUAGAGACCAGAGAUCAGCCACAUUGUGAUCCCAUUCAAUAAAUAAAUGCUGUGUGUGAGUCCUUCCUCCUGCUGUUCCAUUGCCUUUUCUUGCCCAAACCUAAUUCAUGCUCUCUCAUUUGCUGAUGUCCUCUCUUCACAUCUCUUUUCUCAUCCCCAUCCAUAGAUCCGUUUGCAUCAGUUCUCUCAGAGCUCUCUUUUUUCACCUUCAUUUCUUUUUCUUCUUUUAGGAUACAAAGGGAACCAUAAAGAAGAUCUGUGACUUUCUAGGAAAAAAAUUAGGGACAGAUGAGCUGUAUCUCGUCCUCAAGUUCAGCUCCUUCCAAGCCAUGAAAGAAAACAACAUGUCCAAUUAUAGUCUCGUUAAGAAAGAUCAGAUUACUAAUGGCUUGAACCUCAUGAGAAAAGGCACAACUGGGGACUGGAAGAAUCACUUCACAGUAGCCCAAGCUGAAGCCUUCGAUAAAGUGUUCCAGGAAAAAAUGGUCGGUUUUCCUCCAGGCAUGUUCCUAUGGGAAUAAGUUAUCAAAACUUUUGAAUAUUAUAUGAACACUGAUGUUUAUGUUCCUGUUGUUCUAUAUCUUGAAUGUGGUCAUAGAAUAAAUCCUGUUGUGGAAUUGUGA